rnacentral:rRNA from 1 species
GACGAACGCUGGCGGCGUGCUUAACACAUGCAAGUCGAACGGAAAGGCCCUGCUUUUGUGGGGUGCUUGAGUGGCGAACGGGUGAGUAACACGUGAGUAACCCGUCCUUGACUUAGGGAUAACAUCAGGAAACAGGGGCUCAUACCGGAUAGGAGCUCCUGCUGCACGGGGGGGGUUGGAAAGUUUCGGUGGUUGGGGAUGGUCUCGGGCGGUAUCAGCUAGUUGGUGGGGUAGUGGCCUACCAAGGUUAGGAAGGGUAGCCGGCCUGACCGGGUGAUCGGCGACCCGGGAACUGAGCCGCGGUCCAGACUACUACGGGAGGGCGCAGUAGCGAACGUGAGGCAAUGGGGGAGAGUCUGACAGAGCAAGGGCGAGCGUGAGACGACGGCCCCGGGUGCGGAAAGCCGUCCUUCGGGGUAAGAACCGCUUUCGCCGGAGACGAGGCGUGAGUGACGGUAAUGGAUAAAAAAGCACCGGCUAACUACGUG